UUUUGAAAUUUUAGCAGAUGUCAGUUCCUGCGCAGAACAGACAAAAUAUGUGUGUAUAUUUGUGGCAUAUUUUGUUCAUUUAUGAUAAAAAACUUGAAUUGCCUAGCAACUUCUAUUUCAGCUGCCCUUUCCUAUUCUAUUAUUAGCAUUAUUGACAGUUGAAGCUGAACAUUACUUACAACCUCGCAAGGCCAGCCUCGUAACUUUCGUUACUUAUCGCACCAUCAUGAGGGGGGAUACUGGAGGAGAAUAUAUCUAAGUAUUCAAACAAAUGCAUGUGUGAGGCAAGAUUACUUUACUGCUCUACUACUACUUAACUUUACUUUACUUUAGAUUACUACUACUUCGCAGGUGUGAGUGCUUAUCUCCAGGCUUUUGACUUUGGGUUUUCCACAAAGUGCCAUCAUGGAAACCACUCAAGUGUUUGUAUACGGCACGCUGAAGCGUGGGGAGCCCAACCAUGGCUGGAUGAUGAAGACUGGGCCCGGCCAGGGAUGUGCAGAGUUGUUAGGCUCAGCCCGCACAUGCCGUCCAUUUCCCCUGCUGGUGGCUGGCCCCUACAAUAUACCCUACUGCUUGGACAGACCAGGAGAGGGCCACAGGAUCUUUGGAGAGGUGUACAGAGUUGAUGCUGACAAAAUGAAGCGUCUGGACGAACUGGAAGCAUACCCAAAGCACUAUAACAGACGUCAAGAAGACGUCAUUUUAUCCGAUGACCCGGAGGGUACCCCUGUGAAAGCCUGGAUCUACCUAUGGGAGAAUUACACUGACGAACAUUUGAGGCUGAAGCUGAUCGAUAAUUAUACCAACGACGUGUCUUCAGAGUCUUGCCGAUACGUGCCCAAAGAACUGAGAGAAAAAACGGCCUGGAGCUGAUGUAACUAUGUCCAUGUGUCGCGGUGAAUCAAUUCAUACUGCCAUUUUACAUGUGAUUGUAAACAGGUUGUAGGUUUUUGGAGGACAUCAAAUGGGUAGCUGGUGUAAAACGUUUAUAAGGGAGUACGUGAGACUAGUCUUUUGAGUUACUUAUCCAUCGUUUUCUCUCUGUUCGGCGUUGGAUCUCUCGGCAAUAUGCCGGUAGGGAUUCGCGGCCAAUCGACCAAUCAUCUGCGUUUUGCUUCCUCUUGCCGAGUUGUGGUAAACAGUUUUUGUGUUGCUACCUCCGCGAGACUGCGAGAUGGGGAUUAUAUAACGAAAUGUGUCAUAAGCAAGCACCAAGAGUGCAGCACUUGGACAACUGCGAUAUCCUGUUCAUGCACCGAAUUGGCUGGACAUUGAGAAUAUUUUUUUGCAGCCUUAUGUAUUGCGAGGGUGCCUAAUAACUACAAAAUGGCCAGCAGUGUAUUAGUUUUCAUAAAACCCGUCGAAAGAAAAACUACAAAUAUCCAAUUUAUGAAA